rnacentral:rRNA from 1 species
CCUACGGGUGGCAGCAGUGAGGAAUAUUGGUCAAUGGGCGCGAGCCUGAACCAGCAAAGCAGCGUGAAGGAUGACUGCCCUACGGGUUGUAAACUUCUUUUAUAAAGGAAUAAAGUGAGGCAAGUGUGCCUUUUUGUAUGUACUUUAUGAAUAAGGAUCGGCUAACCACGUGCCAGCAGCCGCGGUAAUACGGAGGAUCCGAGCGUUAUCCGGAUUUAUUGGGUUUAAAGGGAGCGUAGAUGGGUUGUUAAGUCAGUUGUGAACGUUUGCGGCUCAACCGUAAAAUUGCAAUUGAUACUGGCAGUCUUGAGUACAGUUGAGGUAGGCGGAAUUCGUGGUGUAGCGGUGAAAUGCUUAGAUAUCGCGAAGAACUCCGAUUGCGAAGGCAGCUUACUAAACUGCCACUGACAUUGAUGCUCGAAAGUGUGGGUAUCAAACAGGAUUAGAUACCCUUGUAGUC